CAGGCAGAAGAGUUAAAUGUAUUUGGCUUUAGUCUUUUGCAAGAUUUUAUGUCUUAGGGGAAUCUCAGCUUUGUAAUUUUGUCAGAACAACAAACAUCCAACCAGAAAACACCCUAGCUAUUGUUCUGGAGUAAGACUCAAAAAUCCCAAACAGAUGAGGUCAUCUCCAGGAGAAAAGGAAUCCUUAAUCUGACCCGUGAGACUAGAAAGAGAACUUGAACAUGAAGAGUCUAGCUUUCUCCCACCAGCUGCUUGCCUAAUACAGCUGCUAUGUCUCUUCCUUCAUGUGCAUCUGGUAUGGCAGGGUCUGGUACUACAGAGGAGAAGAGAACUUUAUUGCACAAAGAAAGAGGAAAUUGCCCAUGGAUAUGAACAGGGGGCCAGAGCUGGUGAUCUCCAAACAUUUAUUUCUACUAGUAAAUUUCAGGUUAUAAAAUGGA